rnacentral:misc_RNA from 1 species
UUUAGGGAGACCUACCCAAUCAGAGAGUGAAAGCGCAUAGCAAAUAACUACUGAAUUGGUCUACCUAGGUCGGUAGCAGAGAAUUGUGGAAGCUUUCAAACUAUAAAUGAGGUUCGUACGGGCUAUUAGCUCAGGUGGUUAGAGCGCACCCCUGAUAAGGGUGAGGUCCCUGGUUCGAGUCCAGGAUGGCCCACCUGAAGAAUUUUAGAUUGCCGAUUUGGGAUUUUGGAUUGUUAUAAGUUCAAUCUAAAAUCAGAGAUCUAAAAUCAAAAAUUUUUGAUGGGGGUUUAGCUCAGUUGGUAGAGCGCCUGCUUUGCAAGCAGGAUGUCAGCGGUUCGAGUCCGCUAACCUCCACAUUGGAGAAAAGCCAGCAAAGUGGUGAGAGCCAGACUGCUGGGGUAAUUCCAGCCAGAACCUUGAAAACUGCAUAGUAACGCGAAAUGAGCAGGCAGACACAGACAUGAGAAUGAAUGUGGAUGCAGGUUUGAAACCAAUGUAAUUG